CUCGCUUCUUAGUCGCUUGUUGGAACCCUGGAGUGGUUCAACCCUAGUCACUGGGGUCUCUCUGGAGCUUUUCCACCUGACAAGGUUGCAGGUCUCCUACCAGGCAGGUAUCAUCCCUUUUUCCUAAUUCACUGCAGCCCUUCUUCCAUGGCAGAUGUCGUCCCCUCUGCCUAUUUCUCUGUGGCCCUUCUUCCAGGCAGGUAUCAUCCCCUCUGCCUAUUCCUCUGCAGCUUUUCUUUCAGGCAGGUAUGCACCUCUGCCUGCAAUGUGAUAGCUCUUGUCUAUCUUUAUAAAGACACUUGCAGCUCUCAGGCCUAGCUCUCUUUUAUUUGCCGCCAGACUAGAGGGAUCGUGCAGCCAGGCAAUGGGUACAACAACUCUUUUACUGUGAUCCCUAAAAAUCCACACAGGACCAGUGGUGUAUCCUGGUUUUGUGCUG